rnacentral:rRNA from 1 species
GGGGAAUCUUCCGCAAUGGGCGAAAGCCUGACGGAGCAAUACCGCGUGAGGGAGGAAUGCCUUUGGGUUGUAAACCUCUUUUCUCAGGGAAGAAGAUCUGACGGUACCUGAGGAAUAAGUAUCGGCUAACUCCGUGCCAGCAGCCGCGGUAAUACGGAGGAUGCAAGCGUUAUCCGGAAUCAUUGGGCGUAAAGCGUCCGCAGGUGGUUUUCAAAGUCUGCUGUUAAAGACUGGAGCUCAACUCCGGAAAGGCGGUGGAAACUUGGAAACUAGAGUUCGGUAGGGGUAGCAGGAAUUCCCAGUGUAGCGGUGAAAUGCGUAGAUAUUGGGAAGAACAUCGGUGGCGAAGGCGUGCUACUGGACCGCAACUGACACUCAGGGACGAAAGCUAGGGGAGCGAAAGGGAUUAGAUACCCCUGUAGUCCUAGCUGUAAACGAUGGAAACUAGGUGUGGCUUG